rnacentral:ncRNA from 2 species
GAUAAUGCUCGUGCUUUUGGUUUGAGUGUAUAACUCAAUUUUAAGGGAAGUUGGUACGACACUGUUCAAACCCAACACUGCCCCCGCAACGGUAUAUAAGAAAAGUGUAUCAACAGCCACUGUGUAAAACAUGGGAAGGCGAUACAUCGGCGAUUCAAUAGCCACUUAUGAGUCCGGAGACCUGCCAUUAGCAAAUCGGUACG